AGUGGCUAAGAAGACAUUUGAGUGGAGACUUGAAGGAAGGGAGACUGGAGGUCAUAUGGUUAUCUAAAGCACAGGUAUUCCAGGAUGAAUGGUUUCAUCAAGAGUGGCCACCUUGGAAGAUGAAACAAACUUAGGAAUGAAGGCUAUGCAUAAAGGACUCAAAAGAGAGAGCCAGGUGCCUGACACCACAGAGGACUGAACCAAAUUUCUCUGGACCAUCUGCUUCCACAUUUGUUGUAAGAGAGAAUUAAACUUUUCUCUCACUUAAGCCACAAUUAUUUGUAUUUUCCUGUCACUCUCUACCAAAUUUAACCUUAAAAAACUCAAUAUGUGUGGCUGAUGUGUAAAUUCCCAAGCCAAUUGUAAUUUUUAAAGAUUAUUUACACUCUUUCCUGCUUUCAAUUAGCAAUAUUAAUUAAAACUUGAUUUUACUUCUCUAAUUCUGUCUAAAUUUAAAACAGUUUCCCUAUUUUUUAUAUGCACUAACAGCUGAGUUUCAGGAAAAGACAAAAGCCCAACCUGAGCAGCCAUGUAGAUUCGUGUAGAACCCUAAAUUAAGAACAACAACAACAAAAAAACUUAUCUGUAGUAUGAACAUUAUAUUCACUUUGAAUUUGGAUAUUUCCUGAUUGACAAGGAAGAUUAAGAUACUCCUAUAGGAAGAUAUUUUUCUAAUUUCUUAAUUUAUAUAUUGAAAUAUAGUGAAAAUAAGACAAAAAAGUCAUACUUAACAAUCACACAGCCUUAAAGAAAACAGAGAGCAGUAGCAAUCACUAACAAUACAGUGUGAUAAGCAUUAGCAUAGAUUGCACUAAAUACAUAUUAGUGACUAAUAAACUCUAGCACAGAUUAAGUUAAACAUACAUUAGUAAAUAGACUAGCAAGGAACAUAUAACAAUAUUUCAUGUAUCUUGCAGAUUAUAUAAUAAUUUCCCAUCUUGUCUACUAACAUCUGUAAUAUAAUUUACUUUAAUUUUUGUUGCUAAUUCUUUAUCCCAUGAAUCAUAUUCCACACAUCAAAGAAUCUAGCAAUUUUUUAUAAACUAAUGGAAAUAUAUUGCAAAUUCUUGGAAAUCACAUAUCCUGUGAAACUUUAACAAAUUUAUUUAAGAGAAUAUAUAUUUAAGUACUCAUAUUGUAUAUAAGUAAAAUACAUCUAUUUAAGACUACAUAUAUAGCUUUAAAUAUUUAUGUGAUCUAUAAAUUCUGCUCUUUAGCAUUUAAGAAGCCCUCAUCUACCACUGCUUUUUUCUUCUAGGAAUGCUUCCUCUUCCACUCCAUCUACAUAGUUCUGUGUCAUGUCCUUCUAUAACUGCAGUUUAAAGGGUAAUCAGAGUGCGCCAAUCAGAUACAUUUCCUGGGAUUUUAGAAUUUGUGAUCAGAGAAAGUAGAAGUCAUUUUUGUCAUUUCACUGAAGUUGUGAGUUGUAAAAUUCAGAGACUAAUGUAGGUAAUAUUUCCAUCCAAGUGAAGAGGGCCAGUUUGCAGUGAGAGGAAAUAAUUCUAAAUAGACCAAAAUAAGUAUCAUCAAGAGGGAAAGGAGAAAGAGAGAGUUCUGCCACAAUCAACUUCCAGUUUCAACUUUUCCUGAGGCCUCAUAUGCAUCACUGCCUUUCUUGUGGCUCAACUACUCAAAGCCUUCUUAGAAGCAAUGAUGUAAUCAAUGUACCCUUAUGCUCUUGUUCUGAAGCUCUCUUGAAUCAUGGGCUUGAAUCAUUCCAAUUAACUUACAUCAUGGUGUAGUAAGCAACCCCAAAUUAUAAUGGUUUAAAGAAAACAAAUGAUUAUUUCUGUCUCUCAUGUUAUAUGACACUUAGGGAUUGGCAGAAAGAGCCCUGUUUGUCACAGCCACUUGGAAACUUAAGUAAAUGCUACAGACUAGUUGUCAAGUCAGACGGCAAUGAGCUGUAGAAGGUCUCACAGUAGCAAUUAAGUGCUUUAAACUCAAAUCAGAAAUUAGCACACAUAACUUCUAUUUUCAACACUUUGUCUAGAACUGGUAAUACAACCCCAACUGACCACAAGAGAACCAAGGUUUUAGUCUGGCAAUAUACACCAAAAAAAAAAAAAAAAAAAAAAAGUGAGAAAAGGAAAUAAAACAUUAGCAACCAGAAUCCUAAUUGGGGAUAUCACCACAGAUCCCACAGAAAUACAAACUACUAUCAGACAAUAUUAUAAACAACUCAAUGCAAAUAAAUAAGAAAAUUCAGAAGAAAUGGAUAAAUUCCUGUACAAAUAAACCCUCCCAAGACUAAACCAGGAAGAAGUCAAAUUCCUGAAUAGACCAAUAACAAGUUCUGAAAUUGAGGCAGUAAUUAAUAGCCUACAAAAAAAAAAAAAGCCCAGGACCAGACGGAUUCACAGCUGAAUUCUACCAGAGGUACAAAAAGGAGCUGGUACCAUUCCUUCUGAAACUAUUCCAAACAAUAGAAAAAGAAGGACUCUUCCCUAUCUCAUUUUAUGAGGCCAGCAUCACCCUGAUACGAAAACCUGGCAGAGACACAACAAAAAAAGAAAAUUUUAGGCCAGUAUCCCUGAUGAACAUUGAUGAGAAAAUCCUCAAUAAAAUACUGGCAAACCGAAUCCAGCAGCACAUCAAAAAGCUUAUCCACCACGAUCAAGACGGCUUCAUCCUGGGAUGCAAGGCUGGUUCAACAUAUGCAAAUCAAUAGAUGUAAUCCAUCACAUAAACAGAACCAUUGACAAAAAACACAUGAUUAUCUCAAUAGAUGCAGAAAAGGCCUUCGAUAAAAUGAAACACCUCUUCAUGCUAAAAACUCUCAAUAAACUAGGUAUUGAUGGAACGUAUCUCAAAAUAAUAAGAGCUAUUUAUGACAAACAUGCAGCCAAUGUCAUACUGAAUGGGCAAAAGUUGGAAGCAUUCCCUUUGAAAAUCACCACAAGACAAGAUGUCCUCUCUCACCACUCCUACUCAACAUAGUAUUGGAAGUUCUGGCCAGGGCAAUCAGGCAAGAGAAAGAAAUAAAGCGUAUUCAAAUAGGAAGAAAGGAAGUCAAAUUGUCUGUUUGCAGAUGACAUGAUUGUAUAUUUAGAAGACCCCAUCAUCUCAGACCAAAAUCUCCGUAAGCUGAUAAGCAACUUCAGCAAAGUAUCAGGAUACAAAAUCAGUGUGCAAAAAUCAC
rnacentral:lncRNA from 10 species